CACGCCGUAAACGUUGAGAACUAAGUGUUGGGGAGACCCAGUGCUGAAGCUAACGCAUUAAGUUCUCCGCCUGAGGAGUACGCACGCAAGUGUAAAACUUAAAGGAAUUGACGGGGGCCCGCACAAGCAGUGGAGCAUGUGGUUUAAUUCGAAGCAACGCGAAGAACCUUACCAGGACUUGACAUAUAGAUGCCCGGUGUAGAGAUACACUUUUUUCUUCUGAAACAUCUAUACAGGUGG
rnacentral:rRNA from 1 species